UGUACCUGCACCUCCAGGUGUAGAAGAUUGCAGCUGUUCCUCUACAUCUUCAUCGGAGAAUCUUCUGUGUCUGUGCAUUUGAGAUAUUCUCACCGUUUCUCUAUUGAUGUACAAUGCAGAAGUAAAAUGUCAAGUGGAAGAAAUGCAAGUAUAAUGCAGAGGAGGAAAAUUAUUAGGAAUUAGCAUGUGAGGAAGUCGGCUAGUUAAUCUAAUGAUCACCUUGUGCCAUUAACUUAGUAAUCUUGUGAUAGAGCUCAUGGUAGCUAUACAGUUGACAAGUUAGUCCUUGGUAAGGAAGUCGUUAAUAUAUGUACAAAGAGGAGGCAAUAAUAUCAGUAUACAACUUGUUAAACAGAACAUAAAACGACGAGAAGUAAAACAAACGCAAAGGUUGGGAAAUUUAUGCAAAAAUUACCAAUAAAUCGGAACCACGGACUUAUAUACAAAACAAUGAGACAAAGAAAAAUUUUUUAAUACUAUCGAAGUUCAUAAAACUUAUACUGUUUCAAACUGCUACGUAAAACGGGCGAAUGUGAAAUACAACAAUUUGGAUCAUCAAUACGAAUUAAAUGCCUCAUAUAAAACCUGUUUAACUGAGUGUGAUGAUGUGUGAAUCUACGAAAAUAUUAAAAAUAGAUUACAAUUUUAUUCAAAUUGCUGAUAUAAUAGAUAAAGAAGAAAAUUCUAUAAUAG